rnacentral:rRNA from 1 species
GAUGAACGCUGGCGGCGUGCCUAACACAUGCAAGUCGAGCGAAGCACUUUGCUUAGAUUCUUCGGAUGAAGAGGAUUGUGACUGAGCGGCGGACGGGUGAGUAACGCGUGGGUAACCUGCCUCAUACAGGGGGAUAACAGUUAGACAUGACUGCUAAUACCGCAUAAGACCACAGCACCGCAUGGUGCGGGGGUAAAAACUCCGGUGGUAUGAGAUGGACCCGCGUCUGAUUAGCUAGUUGGUAAGGUAACGGCUUACCAAGGCGACGAUCAGUAGCCGACCUGAGAGGGUGACCGGCCACAUUGGGACUGAGACACGGCCCAAACUCCUACGGGAGGCAGCAGUGGGGAAUAUUGCACAAUGGGGGAAACCCUGAUGCAGCGACGCCGCGUGAGCGAAGAAGUAUUUCGGUAUGUAAAGCUCUAUCAGCAGGGAAGAAAAUGACGGUACCUGACUAAGAAGCACCGGCUAAAUACGUGCCAGCAGCCGCGGUAAUACGUAUGGUGCAAGCGUUAUCCGAAUUUACUGGGUGUAAAGGGAGCGUAGACGGAUGGGCAAGUCUGAUGUGAAAACCCGGGGCUCAACCCCGGGACUGCAUUGGAAACUGUUCAUCUAGAGUGCUGGAGAGGUAAGUGGAAUUCCUAGUGUAGCGGUGAAAUGCGUAGAUAUUAGGAGGAACACCAGUGGCGAAGGCGGCUUACUGGACAGUAACUGACGUUGAGGCUCGAAAGCGUGGGGAGCAAACAGG